UACGGGGGGGGCAAGCGUUGUUCGGAAUUACUGGGCGUAAAGGGCUCGUGGGCGGCCAACUAAGUCAGACGUGAAAUCCCUCGGCUUAACCGGGGAACUGCGUCUGAUACUGGAUGGCUUGAGUUCGGGAGAGGGAUGCGGAAUUCCAGGUGUAGCGGUGAAAUGCGUAGAUAUCUGGAGGAACACCGGUGGCGAAGGCGGCAUCCUGGACCGACACUGACGCUGAGGAGCGAAAGCCAGGGGAGCAAACGGG
rnacentral:rRNA from 1 species